AGGGCGGCGGGGCCUGCGCUCGUUCUCUGUCUAGCUGUGACCAGCUGAGGCGGCGCGGCGGCACAGGGACGGUAGUUUUGCCUAGCUACUGCAGCACCAUAGUGUCAGUUGGUCCCGCCCAGAACACUUCAGUUCUGCUCUGCAAGGAUAUAUAACUGAUUGGUGUGUCCAUUUAAUACAAGAAAAUGGAAACGGAACAACCAGAGGAAACCUUUCCCAACACUGAAACCAAUGGCGAAUUUGGUAAACGCCCUGCUGAAGAUAUGGAAGAAGAACAAGCUUUUAAAAGAUCUAGAAACACUGAUGAGAUGGUUGAACUGCGCAUCCUGCUUCAGAGCAAGAAUGCUGGGCAGUGAUUGGGAAAGGAGGCAAGAAUAUUAAGGCUCUCCGUACAGACUACAAUGCCAGUGUUUCAGUCCCAGACAGCAGUGGCCCCAAGCGCAUAUUGAGUAUCAGUGCCGAUAUUGAAACAAUUGGAGAAAUUCUGAAGAAAAUCAUCCCUACCUUAGAAGAGGGCCUGCAGUUGCCAUCACCCACUGCAACCAGCCAGCUCCCGCUCGAAUCUGAUGCUGUGGAAUGCUUAAAUUACCAGCACUAUAAAGGAAGCGACUUUGACUGCGAGUUGAGAUUGUUGAUUCAUCAGAGUCUGGCAGGAGGAAUUAUUGGGGUCAAAGGUGCUAAAAUCAAAGAACCUCGGGAGAACACUCAGACAACAAUCAAGCUUUUCCAGGAAUGUUGUCCUCAGUCCACUGACAGAGUCGUUCUCAUUGGAGGAAAACCUGAUAGGGAUGUAGAGUGUAUAAAGAUCAUCCUUGAUCUCAUAUCAGAGUUGCCCAUUAAAGGACGUGCUCAGCCUUAUGAUCCCAAUUUUUACGAUGAAACGUAUGAUUAUGGUGGCUUUACAAUGAUGUUUGAUGAUCGCCGUGGACGUCCUGUGGGAUUUCCUAUGCGGGGAAGAGGUGGUUUUGACAGAAUGCCUCCUGGUCGAGGAGGGCGUCCCAUGCCUCCAUCUAGAAGAGAUUAUGACGAUAUGAGCCCUCGUCGAGGACCUCCUCCCCUCCUCCUGGACGAGGUGGCCGGGGUGGUAGCAGAGCUAGGAAUCUUCCUCUUCCACCACCACCACCACCUAGAGGAGGAGAUCUAAUGGCUUAUGACAGAAGAGGAAGACCUGGAGACCGCUAUGAUGGCAUGGUUGGUUUCAGUGCUGAUGAAACCUGGGACUCUGCAAUCGAUACAUGGAGCCCAUCAGAGUGGCAGAUGGCUUAUGAACCACAGGGUGGAUCUGGAUAUGAUUAUUCCUAUGCAGGGGGUCGUGGCUCAUACGGUGAUCUUGGUGGACCUAUUAUUACUACACAAGUAACUAUUCCCAAAGAUUUGGCUGGAUCUGUUAUUGGCAAAGGUGGUCAGCGGAUUAAACAAAUCCGUCAUGAAUCAGGAGCUUCGAUCAAAAUUGAUGAGCCUUUAGAAGGGUCCGAAGAUCGGAUCAUUACCAUUACAGGAACACAGGACCAGAUACAGAAUGCACAGUGUUUGCUGCAGAACAGUGUGAAGCAGUAUUCUGGAAAGUUUUUCUAAGACUAGUGAAGAACUGAAGGAGUCCUGCAUCUUUUUUUUUUUUAUCUGCUUCUGUUUAAAAAGCCAACAUUCCUCUGCUUCAUAGGUGUUCUGCAUUUGAGGUGUAGUGAAAUCUUUGCUGUUCACCAGAUGUAAUGUUUUAGUUCUUACAAACAGGGUUGGGGGGUGGGGGAGGGUGUGCAAAAACUAACAUUGAAAUUUUGAAACAGCAGCAGAGUGAGUGAAUUUUAAUUUUUGUUCAUUGUUGGUGGUUUAAAAAAAAAUUCCCCCAUGUAAUUAUUGUGAACACUUUGCUUUGUGGUCACUAAAACAUUUGGGGGAUGGGGGGACAGGGAAAAAAAGUAACAAUAGUCCAUAUGUCCCUGGCAUCUAUUCAGAGCAGUGUGCAGAAUGUAAUGCUCUUUUGUAAGAAACGUUUUAUGAUUUUUAAAAUAAAUUUAGUGAACCUAUUUUUGGUGGUCAUUUUUUAAUGGUCAUUUUUCAGAUGGCUGAAUUCCCCCCAAUUUGCCCCCAAACUAAACACUAAGUUUAAUUUUCAGUCCUCUGUUGGAUAUAAAUAAAUACAUCUCCUCUUGGACAUAUGCAAAAUAUCUUGACACAUUUAGUUCUGGUGAUCUCUUAAUGGUUUGAAAGUCCAUUGCUUGGGAGAAAAUUCCACCAUACAUUCAUGCUUAUAGUAAGCGGGGGAUUUUUGUUUGUUUUUGCAAAUGCUUGCCCCUACUUUGCAACAAUUUUGUUAGUGAUUAUGAAGAAGAACCAAAGUGGGGAGCAAUACAGCAGAUGGAGUAGUGGUAUAAGUAUAUAUACCAGAAGCCUAAUGGCAGCAAGUUUUAUUAGUCAGAAUAUUUGGUUAUGGAAGUGACUGAUGCUAAAUAAAUUCUGAUUAUUUUUUAUUAGAUAAUUUCUCACCUAUAGACUUAAACUGCCAGCUUGGUAGUGUCUAUUAGUUAAACUUUGUAAAAUAUAUAUAUAUUCUUGUUUUUCCAUUGUAUGCAAAUUGAAAGAAAAAGAUGUACCAUUUCUCUGUUGUAUGUUGGAUUAUGUAGGAAAUGUUUGUGAACAAUUCAAAAAACAUGAAAAAAGUUCAUGUGGAUGUUUUGUGUAGUUAUCUUGGCAUUUGUACUGAUAGUUAAAAGUUCACUUCCAAAUAAGUAAAACUCCCAUAAUGUUAGAUUUGAUGUGUGACCGAUUUGAACAAGGGUUGAUUGACACCUGUAAAAUUUGUUAAAACGUUCCUCUUGUAAGGAAAUACAGUGAUCUUAAAUUA